rnacentral:tmRNA from 1 species
GGGGGUGAAAGGUCUCGACUUAAGUUAUUCUGCUAAAAGAUGCAUGCCGAGGUUGCAAGGAGGCCUCGUAAAAAACCUUGCAAACUGAUAGCUGCCGACUAUGCGGUAGCCGAAGUCCUUCCUGCCUAAUUACCAGGAGGGCCUCUUCUUAAGUCUGCCUGUGGACUUAAGGAGAGAAUUUUAAACAGGCUGCGCCUGCCAAGUUAGCUCUUACAGGCAGGCUAAGCUUUAAAGAGCUGGCGAUGCUUAAUCCUGUCUAUCGGAGCAAGCAUCGUGAGAGAAAAAAGAUAGACUAAGCAUGUAGUAUCUUUUAGGAGAAAACUUAAGGACGCGGGUUCGAUUCCCGCCACCUCCAUCU